rnacentral:misc_RNA from 1 species
AAGUCGUAACAAGGUAACCGUAGGUGAACCUGCGGUUGGAUCAUUAACAAAACUAGUCUUUGAGACUAAUACAAGGGCUUCGGCCUGAGUAAACACCUGUGAAGCUAUAUGUCUUUGGCGAGUUAACGCUCGUCACUUGUAUUUACCCUACUUUAAUAAUGACUGAAUCAAGAAUCUAAUUAAAAAACAACUUUUAACAACGGAUCUCUUGGCUCUC